UUAACGGCCGCGGUAGCCUAACCGUGCUAAGGUAGCGUAAUUUCUUGCCUUCUAAUUUAAGGCCAGUCAAUGGUCACCCGUGGGUUAAGCUGUCUUUUACACACCACUGUGAAUUUAUUCUCUACGUGAAAAAACCUAGAUGAGCCUGAGGGACGAGAAGACCCUGCAGAGUUUUAUUGCAUAACAAUAUUUAAUAGAAAUUUAAUAUACUAGCACAAUUUAAUUGGGGCAAUUAGGGAAAAGAAAAAACUUCUCUUACUUAAACACUUUCACGUAUAAAGAGCUAGACAACUAAUCAAAGGAAAAACUACCUCAGGGAUAACAGCAUAAUGCUAUUGGCGAGUACACAUUAAUAAUAGCGAUUAUGACCUCGAUGUUGGAUUAAAGUUACAUUAAAGUGCAGCCGCUUUUCCUGUGGGCCUGUUCGGCCUUUAAAACUUUAC
rnacentral:rRNA from 1 species